UACGGAGGGUGCAAGCGUUGUCCGGAUUCAUUGGGGUUUAAAGGGUGCGUAGGCGGCCUAGUAAGUCAGCGGUGAAAUCCCCCGCCAACGGGGGACUGCCGUUGAUACUGCUUGGCUUGAGUUCGCCCGAGGUCGCUGGAAUGCGUGGUGUAGCGGUGAAAUGCAUAGAUAUCACGCAGAACACCAAUUGCGAAGGCAGGUGACUGGGGCUGGACUGACGCUGA
rnacentral:rRNA from 1 species